ACGCUGGCGGGCGCGCUCUUAAACACAUGCAAGUCGAGCGAGAACCAGGGCUUCGGCCCUGGGGGACAGCGGGCGAACGGGUGAGUAAACACGUGGAUAACCUGCCCUCGGCACCGGGAUAGCCCGGGGAAACCCGGAUUAAUACCGGAUGGCCCUUCCGGCUCACGAGCCGGUCGGAAAAAGGUAGCUUCGGCCUCCGGCCGAGGAUGGGGUCCGCGGCGGAUUAGCUUGUUGGUGGGGUAACGGCCCACCAAGGCUCCGAUCCGUAGCUGGUCUGAGAGGACGAUCAGCCACAACUGGGACUGAGACACGGCCCAGACUCCUACGGGAGGCAGCAGUGGGGAAUCUUGCGCAAUGGGCGAAAGCCUUGACGCAGCGACGCCGCGUGAGGGAGGAAGGCCCUUCGGGUUGUAAACCCUCUUUCAGGAGGGGACGAAGCUACUCGGGUGAAUAGCCCAGAGGGUGGCGGUAACCUCCAGAAGAAGCCCCGGCUAAACUACGUGCCCAGCAGCCGCGGUAAUACGUAGGGGGCAAGCGUUGUCCGGAUUUACUGGGCGUAAAGGCGCGUGUAGGCGGCCACGCAGGUCCGUUUGUGAAAACUGGAGGCUCAACUUCCAGAACGUCGACGGAAAACCGUGUGGCUUAGAGUCCGGAAAGAGGAGAGUGGAAUUCCUGGUCUGUAGCGGUGAAAAUGCGCAGAUAUCAGGAAGAACACCAAUGGCGAAGGCAGCUCUCUGGGGACGUGGUACUGACGCUGAGACGCGAAAGGCGUGGGGACAGCGAACAGGAUUAGAUACCCUGGUAGUCCACGCCGUAAACGAUGGGGUGCUAGGUGUGGGAGGUGUCGACUCCUUCCGUGCCGUAGCCUAACGGCAAUUAAGCACCCCCGCCCUGGGGGAGUACGCCGCAAGGCUUAAAACUCAAAGGAAUUGAACGGGGCCCCGGCACAAGGCAGCGGAGCAUGUGGUUUUAAUUCGAUGCAACGCGAAGAAACCUUACCAGGGCCUUGACAUGCACUGGAAAACCGUAGAAAUACGGUCCUCCUUCGGGACUAGUGCACAGGUGGUGCAUGGCUGUCGUCAGCUCGUGUCGUGAGGAUGUUGGGUUAAGGUCCCGCAACCGAGCGCAAACCCCUGCCCCAUGCUGCCAGCGAGUAAUGUCGGGGACUCAUGGGAGACUGCCGGUGACAAAUCGGAGGGAGGAAGGGUGGGGAUGAUGUCAAGUCCAUCAUGCCCCUUAUGUCCUGGGCUACACACGUGGCUACAUUGGCCGGUACAAAGGGCUGCAAACCUGCGAGGGUGAAGCGAAUCCCAAAAAAGCCGGUCCCGGUUUCGGAUUGAAGGCUGAAACUCGCCUUCAUGGAAGGCGGAGUUGCUAGUAAUCGCGGAUCAGCAACGCCGCGGUGAAUACGUACACGGGGCUUGUACACACCGCCCGUCACACCACGAAAGUCGGCAAUACCCGAAGGCCGGUGAGCUAAACCCCUCGGGGAGGCAGCCGUCGAAGGUAGGGGUUGAUGAUUGGGGGU
rnacentral:rRNA from 1 species